CAACAUUUGGACACACAUUUAUGAGGUUAUCUGUCAUCAAAAGGCAUACGUGCAGGGUGUACGCAAUCUGAAUCCAGUCCCCUACCAUGCAGAAUACAUGGGACAUAAACUACACUUGGACCAAAAUGAGAAACUGGUGAUGUUUGGAGUGACGCAUGUUGUGGCAAUAGAUGGCUUCAGCAGCCAAACUGUGGCUCAUAACACCAUGCCUGUUAAAAACAACUUAACAAUCUAUCAGAAAGUUUACAGAGAAGCUGUGACAAAAAACAGCAUGUGGGAUCAAAUCCGGGUUGACCAGGGAAAAGAGUUCUAUAUGUGCCUGUAUAUCCAAGAGCUGCUGUCCAGACACAGAUACAAUAUAAACAGACAACCAUAUGUACAGACAAAAUCAUCAAGGAACCUCAAAGUUGAGUGAAUAUGGCCAGAAAUAAAUAACACAGUCAACUAUCCCCUGAAAGAAGCUCUGCUGCAACUUCAAGACCAAGAGGUGAUGAACAUGGAGGACAACACAACUAGAUUUUGUGUUUCCAAUCUCACUUGUCAGGUUUCCUCAAUUGGGCUUGAAUGAACUGUGCUAUCAUGCAAUGCACAUAGGAUUGCAGGAAAAGGAAUCCCAAACAUCUUGGCUGAAGGUGGGUGUCCAGCAAAGAUUAACAAGGAA